rnacentral:rRNA from 1 species
AGCUCCAAUAGCGUAUCUUAAAGUUGCUGCAGUUAAAAAGCUCGUAGUUGGAUCUCGGGAUCGAGCUGACGGUCCGCCGCGAGGCGAGCUACCGUCUGUCCCAGCCCCUGCCUCUCGGCGCCCCCUCGGUUCUCUUAUGUGGGUUUUCUUCUCUGAACUGGGGCCAUGAUUAAGAGGGACGGCCGGGGGCAUUCGUAUUGUGCCGCUAGAGGUGAAAUUCUUGGACCGGCGCAAGACGGACGAAAGCGAAAGCAUUUGCCAAGAAUGUUUUCA